ACAUCACAGGUUAAACUAGGCUGUUCUGCUGUGUACCACAUCAUAGGUUAAACUAGGCUGUUCUGUACCACAUCACAGGUUCAACUAGGCUGUUCUGUACCACAUCACAGGUUAAACUAGGCUGUUCUGUACCACAUCACAGGUUAAACUAGGCUGUUCUGUACCACAUCACAGGUUAAACUAGGCUGUUCUGUACCACAUCACAGGUUCAACUAGGCUGUUCUGCUGUGUACCAC